rnacentral:rRNA from 1 species
UACGAAGGGGGCUAGCGUUGCUCGGAAUUACUGGGCGUAAAGCGCACGUAGGCGGCUUCUAAGUCAGUGGUGAAAGCCCGGAGCUCAACUCCGGAACUGCCAUUGAAACUGUUUAGCUUGAGGAUGAGAGAGGUGAGUGGAAUUCCCAGUGUAGCGGUGGAAUGCGUAGAGAUCGGGAAGAACAUCAGUGGCGAAGGCGGUCUGCUGGGCCGUUGCUGACGCUGAGGCGCGACAGCGUGGGGGAGCAAACAGG